rnacentral:rRNA from 1 species
UGGGGGAUAUUGCACAAUGGGGGAAACCCUGAUGCAGCGACCCCCCGUGGAGGAAGAAGGUUUUCGGAUUGUAAACUCCUGUCGUUAGGGACGAUAAUGACGGUACCUAACAAGAAAGCACCGGCUAACUACGUGCCAGCAGCCGCGGUAAAACGUAGGGUGCAAGCGUUGUCCGGAAUUACUGGGUGUAAAGGGAGCGCAGGCGGGAAGACAAGUUGGAAGUGAAAACCAUGGGCUCAACCCAUGAAUUGCUUUCAAAACUGUUUUUCUUGAGUAGUGCAGAGGUAGAUGGAAUUCCCGGUGUAGCGGUGGAAUGCGUAGAUAUCGGGAGGAACACCAGUGGCGAAGGCGGUCUACUGGGCACCAACUGACGCUGAGGCUCGAAAGCAUGGGUAGCAAACAGGAUUAGAUACCCUGGUAGUCCAUGCCGUAAACGAUGAUUACUAGGUGUUGGGGGAUUGACCCCCUCAGUGCCGCAGUUAACACAAUAAGUAAUCCACCUGGGGAGUACGACCGCAAGGUUGAAACUCAAAGGAAUUGACGGGGGCCCGCACAAGCAGUGGAGUAUGUGGUUUAAUUCGAAGCAACGCGAAGAACCUUACCAGGUCUUGACAUCCGAUGCAUAGCACAGAGAUGUGUGAAAUCCUUCGGGACAUCGAGACAGGUGGUGCAUGGUUGUCGUCAGCUCGUGUCGUGAGAUGUUGGGUUAAGUCCCGCAACGAGCGCAACCCUUAUUGCCAGUUACUACGUUAAGAGGACUCUGGCGAGACUGCCGUUGACAAAACGGAGGAAGGUGGGGAUGACGUCAAAUCAUCAUGCCCUUUAUGACCUGGGCUACACACGUACUACAAUGGCGUUAAACAAAGAGAAGCAAGACCGCGAGGUGGAGCAAAACUCAAAAACAACGUCUCAGUUCAGAUUGCAGGCUGCAACUCGCCUGCAUGAAGUCGGAAUUGCUAGUAAUCGCGGAUCAGCAUGCCGCGGUGAAUACGUUCCC